UACGUAGGGUGCAAGCGUUGUCCGGAAUUAUUGGGCGUAAAGAGCUCGUAGGCGGUUUGUCGCGUCUGCUGUGAAAACCCGAGGCUCAACCUCGGGCCUGCAGUGGGUACGGGCAAACUAGAGUGCGGUAGGGGAGAAUGGAAUUCCUGGUGUAGCGGUGAAAUGCGCAGAUAUCAGGAGGAACACCGGUGGCGAAGGCGGGUCUCUGGGCCGAUACUGACGCUGAGGAGCGAAAGCGUGGGGAGCAAACAGG
rnacentral:rRNA from 1 species